ACUGAAAAAAAUGGACUUAGUGGGUCUUUGAAUUUAAAUAAAAUAAACAUGUAUAUGCAACACAAAAUAUUUAUAUUCCUUGUGUAAACAUAAUUUAAUUGAUUAGGAUUAAAAUGUUUUGUUUGAAUGUAAAAUGAACACAUUAUUCUCACAUUGAUUAAAAUUGAUUGAAUUGAAUACUUAAAGCAAUAAAAUUGGGUUUGCAAACAAAACGGCACCUCCUGAGCAGCAGGGGCAGUAUAGCUCAAUGAGAAGGACAUCGAUUGCCAUAAAAGAAGAAUAAAGAUCGUUUGUUUUGGGCGCCAAAAUGAAGACUCAGCAGCAGUCAGUCAGUCAGAAGAACUCUCUCAGACGGACACCACGUUAUUAAAGUCCAUCAUCCUUUCAUGCGCUACACAGCAUUGUACUCAAAUAUACAAUGGUUGCUGAAUUUAAAAGAAUCUAUGCUGUCUAAUUUUCCUGCGUGUCACCUGGACCUCC